rnacentral:rRNA from 1 species
UACAGAGGUCUCAAGCGUUGUUCGGAUUCAUUGGGCGUAAAGGGUGCGUAGGCGGCGCGGUAAGUCGGGUGUGAAAUCUUGGAGCUUAACUCCGAAACUGCAUUCGAUACUGCCGUGCUUGAGGACUGGAGAGGAGACUGGAAUUUACGGUGUAGCGGUGAAAUGCGCAGAUAUCGGGAAGAACACCCGUGGCGAAGGCGGCUCUCUGGACGGUACUGACGCUGAGACGCGAAAGCGUGGGAGCGAACGAGG